GGGUGUAUAGCUCCAAUGGUAGAGUAGGUGAUUCCAAAUCACUUGGUUGUAGGUUCGAAUCCUACUGCACCCGCCA
rnacentral:tRNA from 3 species